rnacentral:other from 1 species
CGUCCUCUGCAGUGUUCGUAUAUGCCAAAUGCGCCCUUGAGCCGAUAAAUUUUUCUUCGGGGGCUUGAUGUCGGUGUGGUGUGCAUGUCCGCUGGUCGGAAAGCCUAAAACUCCGCGAUGGUUCCCACUUGAACCCUUGGGUUCAAGGCCCACUGGCACUACGGCACAACGUGGAGGACGC